rnacentral:lncRNA from 1 species
CCAUUUUCAACACAACCUUCAUCCAAACACAUCCAUUCAUCUUCACAUCCAUUCCUCCAUACAAACAAACCUUCAAACACUCACCAACAUCUUGUGCCGUAGCAAAGGAAGGGAAGGAAAGUGCUUGGACGUGCUUGCUGUCCAACUUGGAUCGUUGGAGCGUUUAGGUGUUUUCUUUCUUUUGUUUCUAAUGUUUAAAUUCAUUUCCUUUCGUGUUGUUGUAAAUAUGAGUGGCUAAACCCCUUUUGGCUAGGGGUGAUU